ACACACACACACACACACACCGAAGAUGCCCUGAUACACACCUGUUCUGCCCAAGACAAACAUGAUGAACGCAGAAAUGAAAACCAUCCUGCUGUAGGGCUGCUCAUCAUUGAAUGGCAGUGGUGAGAUGACGGAGGUGGAGCCGGCGUUGGAUUUUGCGUCAUCAGGUCGAUCCGGUCGACGUAAUGCUCUGCCUGACAUCCUGGGUUCUCCUGCCGGUGUCAAUCCCUCGGACCUGCCCCUCAAAUUAGCCGAGCUCUCUCUCACAGACGGUCCCGGAGGAGCUCAGUCUCCAACAUCACUGGAGGCUCCACUCCCUCCAGAGAGCUCAGAGGAGAAACAGGGAUCCUGAAAACUCCUCCUCACCUCCUGUCCAACAUCACUAAUGGAGAGAGAAAGAAAAGCAAAUAUAAAGAUGACGAUACCUCAGGGACAGACUAACAUUUGGAUUACUGCACAUGCAAUGGCCCUGUGUCUAAUGACACACUUGCGGGUGGACUUGCAGACUCAGCCUGUGUGUCUGUUGUUUCAGUGAGACGAGGGCAGAUGUCUCCGAUUACUCGGUCAUUGUUCAAAUGGUGUUGUCUGUCUAUGGCCAGUUGAACUCUCAUUGCAGACUGGGCAGGUAGGAGUAACAUUAAGAGACCAGAAACAUCAGAAUGUGGCUUUCAAGCCACCAGUGUUGUUAUUUUUAACUAAAACUAAAAU